AGUGAACGCUGGCGGUAGGCCUAACACAUGCAAGUCGAACGGCAGCACAGUAAGAGCUUGCUCUUACGGGUGGCGAGUGGCGGACGGGCGAGGAAUACAUCGGAAUCUACUUUUUCGUGGGGGAUAACGUAGGGAAACUUACGCUAAUACCGCAUACGACCUACGGGUGAAAGCAGGGGAUCUUCGGACCUUGCGCGAUUGAAUGAGCCGAUGUCGGAUUAGCUAGUUGGCGGGGUAAAGGCCCACCAAGGCGACGAUCCGUAGCUGGUCUGAGAGUAUGAUCAGCCACACUGGAACUGAGACACGGUCCAGACUCCUACGGGAGGCAGCAGUGGGGAAUAUUGGACAAUGGGCGCAAGCCUGAUCCAGCCAUACCGCGUGGGUGAAGAAGGCCUUCGGGUUGUAAAGCCCUUUUGUUGGGAAAGAAAAGCAGCAGGUUAAUACCCCGCUGUUCUGACGGUACCCAAAGAAUAAGCACCGGCUAACUUCGUG
rnacentral:rRNA from 1 species